AUAAAAAGUGUCCAGGGGCGGGAAUCGAACCCACAACCUUCUGCUUACCGGGCAGAUUCCAGCCCCUGGACACUUUUUA